rnacentral:rRNA from 1 species
GAUGAACGCUGGCGGCGUGCCUAAUACAUGCAAGUAGAACGCUGAAGCUUGGUGCUUGCGCCGAGCGGAUGAGUUGCGAACGGGUGAGUAACGCGUAGGUAACCUGCCUCUUAGCGGGGGAUAACUAUUGGAAACGAUAGCUAAUACCGCAUAAAAGACGAUAUCGCAUGAUAUUGAUUUGAAAGGUGCAAAUGCAUCACUAAGAGAUGGACCUGCGUUGUAUUAGCUAGUUGGUGAGGUAACGGCUCACCAAGGCAACGAUACAUAGCCGACCUGAGAGGGUGAUCGGCCACACUGGGACUGAGACACGGCCCAGACUCCUACGGGAGGCAGCAGUAGGGAAUCUUCGGUAAUGGGGGCAACCCUGACCGAUUAACGCCGCGUGAGUGAAGAAGGUU